GGAUCUUGUAGAUUUUUUCGGCCUUUGGAUGAAGAUUUGUAGGAUUAGGAUAAUAGUAGUGUUGAGUGGGUGGUUGCUAGAAUAAUAUAAUUUAAGAGAUAGAAUUGAUGAAAAGAAUAGAUCUAACAGUGAAAAAUUUUCAAGCACCAAGUUCUUGGUGCUUUUAAGAGCACCAUAGCCGGACUCUCUCUCUCUCUCUACACACACAU
rnacentral:lncRNA from 1 species